CGGGGAAAUGGCCAAGCGAGGAGUGAGCGUCGUACACCUGUCUCCAGGGCCACAGCUAUUUACAAACCGAGUCGGUGAUGAAUACGAACGAACAGGAACACAGACGACCAAUCCCACCAGGGUCAGCAGGCAUGUAAUGGGAAUGCAACCACUUCUGAUGGGCACUGACAAAUGGAGAGUGGCUAUGCUCUGUGCAUCUACCGCUGGGUUGAUGGAUGGAUGAUGGGGAAGGAGAGGAGAGCCGAACGCUACACCAGCAGGUGUCAUGAAAGCAUUUUGUCUCACUACCCUGCUGAGCUAAAUCUCUUCAUCACCUUCAGAGCAGGUUAUUCUUUCCCUUUUACAAAAUAUAAUAUAGUUUAGAGCUAGAUGUGCAAGAUCCUUACAGUUUCGAUUUGUCCAUAUGCUACUGCAUCUUUGCAAAGGGCAUAAAAAUAUAAAUGUAAACAGCACCACAGCUUUAUUUUGGUGGUUGCUGCAUUUUAUUUAAGUUGAUGAAUUCUGUGAAAGACGUAGAAAAGAGUCUGGAGAUGCUGAAUAUGGAAAUCUAUAUACAAAGCUCGUCUUUCUCUACAGUUCAGUUUUAUCUCUCGAAAGAGAUGGCAAUGUGUCCAUGUUUCUUUUCUUUAAUUCUGCUUUAAUUCCCAAACCAGCGAAUACAAUCUGCCUGGUGAGGUUGAAUGAGUCAUGAGCUGUCAUUACCUUAACAACUAUUCUUGAGUUGCCCUUGAGCGGGGCAUUUCUCAGAGGAAGCAACCCAAGAGGCACAACAGCAGGAGACUGUGAAUGUACUUUGUGGCUAACAGGUAUGUGUGUGUGUGUGUGUGUGUGUGUGUGUGUGUGUGUGUGUGUGUGUGUGUGUGUGUGUGUGUGUGUGUGUGUGUGUGUGUGUGUGUGUGUGUGUGUGUGUGUGUGUGUGUGUGCAACCAUGAAUGCAAAAUACAGCAAUGUUGAAAUAGCCUUCAAUGUAAGUUGACCUUUUCUUGACAAACUUAUUAAACCUUUAAUAUUGAAACAGAUUUCUGCUCUACUGGAGGAUACUAAAGGAACUACAAUAUGCAAAAUGUUUAAGUUUGAUUUAGUUGCCAAAAAGAGAGGGCUUUUUUACAUAAAUGUAUAUAGAACAGCUCUAUCUAUGACCAGCAGAAUGCAUUUCAUUGUGUAUAUCAAGAGAACAAAUCACAGCAUUUAAGUGGGAGUGGAGCUGAGGCGUGCCAUGCAAAUGUCUCUUGGUUAUGGACUGUCUUAUGAUGAUAUUCACUCAAUGCGGCCACACCUUUAAGUACAAUUUUAUGAAUUCGUAUAAUAUAAACAGAGGUUUGAAGGUAUAUAUACUCUACCAGUCAAAAGUUUGAAGACAUCUUCUCAUUUAAUGGUUUUUCUUUAUUUUCAGGACUAUUUACAUUGUAGAUUGUCACUGAAUGCAUCAAAACUAUGAAUGAGCACAUAUGGAAUUAUGUAGUAAACAAAAAAAAUGAAAUCAGUCAAAACAUGUUUUAUAUUUUAGAUAAUUCAAAAUAACCACCUUUUGCUUUGAUUUUUGCUUUGCACACUUUUAUUCUCUCGAUGAGCUUCAUGUGGUAGUCAUCUGAAAUGGUUUUCCUGUAGUCUUGAAGGAGUUCCCAGAGAUGUUGAGCACUUGUCAACCCUUUUGCCUUCACUCUACGGUCCAUUUCAUCCCAAACCAUCUCGAUGGGGUUUAGGUCAGGUGACUGUGGAGGCCAGGUCAUCUGACGCAGCACUCCAUCACUCUCCUUCUUGGUCAAAUAGGGUGUUUGGGGUCAUUGUCCUGCUGAAAAAUGAAUGAAGGUCCAACUAAACGCAAACCGGAUGGGAUGGACUCUCGCCGCAGGAUGCUGUGGUAGCCAUGCUGGUUCAGUGUGCCUUCAGUUUUGAAAAAAAAUGCCAGCAGUGUCACCAGCAAAGCACCCCCACACCAUCACACCUCCUCUUCCAUGCUUCACAGUGCGAAGCAUACAUGUAGAGACCAUCCGUUCAUUUUUUCUGCGUUGCACAAAGACAUGGGGGGUGGAACCAAAGAUCUCAAUUUCAAUCAUUCCUUGUGCUUCUUGGCCCAAACAAAUCUCUUGUUGAUUUUUGUUAAUAAUUGUUUCUUUGCAGCUAUUUGACCAAGAAGGCCUGGUUCGCACAGUCUCCUCUGAACAGUUGAUGUAGAGAUGUGUCUGCUACUAGAACUCUGUAUGGCAUUUAUCUGGGCUCUACUCUGAGGUGCUGUUAACUUGCCAUUUCUGAGGCUGGUGACUUGGAUGAACUUAUCCUCAGCAGCAGAGGUGACUCUUGGUCUUCCUAUUCUGGGACAGUGCUCAUGUUAACCAGUUAGCGCUUGAUGGUUUUUGCGACUACAUUUGGGGAUGUGUUCAAAGUUUUUGCAAUUUUGCAGACUGACCAGCCUUCAGUUCUUAAAGUAAUGAUGGACUAUCAUUUCUCUUUACUUAGCUGACUGGUUCUUGCCAUAAUAUGGAUUCUAACAGCUGUCAGAUAGAGCUGUCAACUGUGUACCAACCUGACUUCUGCACAACACAACUGAUGGUCCCAACCCCAUUAAGAAGGAAAGAAAUUCCACAAAUUAACCUUGACAAGGCACACCUAUGAAGGGAAAACCAUUUCAGGUGAGUAUGUCAUAAAGCUUACUGAGAGAAUGCUAAGAGUGUGCGACGCAGUAAUCAAAGCAAAGGAUGGCUAUUUUGAAGAAUCUAAAAUAUAAAACAUGUUUUGAUUUAUUUCACACUGUUUGUUUACUACAUAAUUCCAUAUGUGUUCAUUCAUAGUUUGGAUGUCUUCAGUAAGAAUGUACAAUGUAUAUAAUCAUGAAAAUAAAGAAAAACCAUUAAAUGAGAACAUAUGUUCAAACUAUUGACUGGUAGGGUAUAUAUAAAAAUAAAACACCUUCAGAACAGUUGUCCUAAAGUGAGAAAUUAGCUAUAGGGACCAAAACGAUUUUUUGUACCAGGCUGUAAACGUGUUUAUAUCUUUUGUAAUUUUGACCAAUUUAACCUGAGGUCUAUUGGGACUGACUAUAUUUAGAGCCAGCCUCUAGUGGCCAUUUGAGGAACUGUUUUUGGCACACUUGGGUUGACUUCUUUAAUCAGCGCCUGAGGUUGUCGCUUGUAAAGAAUGACAGUUUAGCUGGUUAUAAAUUAAAAUAUGUAUCAAGAAACAGAUGGACCAAAGGCAAGACAACCAAACAGUUUUCUACAGUACAAAAUAUCAUUACCAGGUAGAUUGAUGUUAUUUAAGCCUUGCAUUUAAAACAUCAUUCUUUUUCUGUUGGUCAGAAUAGAUGUGGUUUGAUAGUGUGUUGCUAUCAGCACAUGAGGUGGUUACCAUUGGUCUAAACACCGACUGUAUUUUCCGCUAUGGUAAUGAAAUGGUGGUCUGUUAUGCUGCCACAUCUGAAAGAUUUAAUCAUAGGGCAGAUUUCUAACACAAACACUGAAAUAAACCUACACACUAGUCUCUUAAAGUGUAUUUCCAGCUGUAAAAGUUACCAUUUUGUCUCAGUUAAUUAUAAUUAUAUUUUUCACACACCAAUUUUUGUUACCUAUUCACAAUGUAAAGCUCAUGUAACGUGUCAUGUAAAAUUUCACUAUUGUGGAAAAUGUGCCUAUUCACUCAUGUUGGGUUGGAUGAGAAAAUUGCUACCACUGUUUUAUGCACCUCUUAAAUGUAUAAAUUACCAUUUUAGAUUUUGUUUGUUAUAUCUAUAUAAAAGCCAAAAUGUAAAAUUGACAGUUCUCUAUUUUAUGUUGGUUACACAUUAGAUUAUUAGAGUGACCAGCCCAGUUCCAAUACAGACACCCCUACAGCAACUCACACAAAUGUAUUACAAACAUGCUUCUAAUAAAUGUCAAAGCUCCACCAGGUUCUUUCUUUGCAUUGCAGACAGAGAGAGUCCGACAGUAGCAUUUCAUGGUUGGUUAACUUCGACUACAGGCUUCACUGAAUACCAGUCAGUUUCCCCUGUAUUCCAUCACCCUUCUUCUCACACGUAUUCACAAGGCCACUCUACAUGCAGUGGUUGCUCCUAAAUAUUUUCUGUUGAAUUUUUCAAAUACACUGGGACUAAGGGUUCUAACAAGUGAACAUGUAGUUCCUGUUUAAAACUAAUGUUUCCUGGCCUAACCAGCUGCUCGUGAUAGCCAACAUUAUUUCUCUUAGCUAAUUUGCAAGUGAGCACAUUUCCCAAAAAUUAUAGCAUUCCUUUCAGCAUAUGUUUUACUCUGUUUAUUUUGCAUUUUAAACCUUUGUACACAUGCAGAUGCUAAUACUAAGCUAUAUGCAGUAUAUGCAUUAUAUACUGUAUCUCAGAGUUCGUAAGAGUAUGGUGUAGCUUAUAAUAUUAUGGGCAAAAUCUCAUCAUUAUCCUCUCUUUUUCUACACACCUCUGAAUUUCCUUACUGCUGCAAAUGCCUUUUAAAACUCCCCUGUGCUUUGUUGUUUUCUGAGAGGAAUAGAGGUCAAGAGGGAAAAUCAAAUUAGGCUCUUAUUUGAUCGUGGUGAAGCAGGAGAGCCUGCUCAUUAAGCAACCGAGCCCCCGCUGCCGAGUCAUUAAGGCCAUAUUUACCAUGCAAUAGCAGUACGUGCAGAAAAACCUGAGAUGAUUUGCCAUGUUGUUUCCACUUAAUUUGAAGGAAAAAAGUUAAAUAGUUAGAGGAUAUUGACAGAGGAGGAGGUAGAAAAUGUGUCUGCCUUCUGUCACUAAGUUGGAAUCCUCGAAUGGUAGCAGUGUGUAGUUCAUACAUUUUGGACACAUAUUUCAGAUUGACAGGCUGAAACUUAUACAUAACAUUGACUGCCAUUAAUGGCCCUUGAUGUAUACCGACAACAAGCUGUAAUGUUACUCAGCACAGUUCAGCAACCUUGGUCAGCACAUAGAGUUAAUGUCUUUAUUUCCACCCUGGCUUCACGCAUUCAGCCUCCCAUCUACUUCUUCGGUGGUAAUGCAUUUUGAUGCCCGUCUAAAAGCCUGAGUGAAACAUGUGCUGCUGGGAGGCCAGCAAGCGUACGGGGGCUAUCACAAAUGAUUACAGUCAGCCAGAGGGUGACGGGGACCACCAGGUGCUGAGGCCUGCUGAGGCAUUACUUAUUGAAUCCUGUCUUUAGCUCUAAGGAGACCCGGGCCAUAUCUAAAUGGCUUUGAGGAAAUCACGCACCCUGUCAGAAACUAUUAGGAUUCUGUCUCAGAAACAAGACCGCCUUGGCCAAAGUUUGCCACUAGUUUAGCAGAGGCAAAAUAUAGUGUUGAGCUAAUGAAGACUGGCUCCUUCAGGCUGUUGCAUGAAUGUGUUUGGACAACAAUCUAUAAAAUUUGCACAGGAAGAUUAAAAAAAAUGAAAAAUUCAAACAGUCUAGACUAUCUUGUAAUGCCUCAAAAGCAGGCAUGAUAGGUAUAUAUACAUAAACUGAAGUCAGUUCCUUAGUUAGUAUUUUUCUCCAGAUGUCAAGCAAAAAAAAAAAAACGCUCUCAAAUCAACACACUUAAAUUAGAGCAGCUAGUUUGGGCUCUCAGACCCAAACACACGCCUGAUGCAAACAAAUAUUAUGAGCCAUCUCACUGCACUUGCAGAGAAAAACAAAAUAAAACAAGAUUAGAAGGAAUCAAUACAUAGACAAGAACCCACAUUUAACAAUGGCAGAUUUAAAAACUAGGGCCCCGUAUCCCAGACGUGUCUUAAGUGUAAGAUAAUUGUGAAAUCCAUCAUACAAGCCUUCUUAAGUUUGAGAAGUGUAUCCCAAAAGCCUCAUAACCAAGGAAGCUCUUAGAAAUAAUUAGAAAUGAUUUUUAUCAACAAGUACGUCCUUGCAUGGAUCAUUAGCUUAAAUGUCAAUAAUAAAAUAAAAAAUAAUUUCAAAACUGCUUGUAGGUGGCUAAGAGCAUCUUAAAACAGCAUAAUAUCUACAGGAGAAACUGGGAACCAUGACAGAUUUCAUUCAUGUAUGAACCCAGAUGGUCUUUGUCAAGUAGCAUGUCAUAUACAAUGAGAGAUUUUUUAAUUAGAACAUUACUGCUGCACUGAUUAUAAACACAUACAAAUUGACUGAUAAACUUGCCGAGUGGCACAGUAGUAGCUGGAGGUCCCAACAUUCUUUUAAAAAAACAUUUCAUUAGUACCCUGCAAAAGAAAAAGAUUAUUUAAAAAAAAAUAGUUAUUAAAAGCCCGUUAUGACAUUUCCAUCAAUGUCAUGCUUUUUCAGUCUUAGUUCUACAUCCUUUCACACUGCAAUUAGUCACCUAUCGCAGCUGUGUUUGUACUAUAAUGGAUGUCAAAAAAAUAACUUCUGAAACACUGAAUAAAAAUGGAAAAAAAACAGAAGGGAGGUCAUGACACACUCUGUUAAUGAACCAUGGUAAGUCUCUGGCAUGAGACGCUGAAUACCAAGUGAUAAGUGACUAAUGUUAUGGAUGCAGAGUUGUGUGUGGUUGUUGUGUAGCAGCCUAGUAGGUACUCUGCAUUUGGCACCAAAAUAGCACACCAUAGACAAAGUGAAUCUCAAGAUAUGUGGAAAUACCAGUAAUGUCACAUUGGAUCACCACUGUCCAUAUUAUCAUCUGCCGCAAUCAUCAGGUCCAUCUUAACAACUGCCUUCAUUAACAUGAACAACAAAGAGGCCUUGACCCCCACAGAGAGCAAAAGCAUAAAUCUCUGAAGAAAAAAAAACCCUACAUAUAGUUUAAUGUAUCUUCAUAUAUUAUAUAGAUUCUACAGAUUUCUAAAAAACCCUGAUAAUCCAACCUGGUCUGACAAUGUUCAGUAAGCUUCUUGUUAUGUCAGGAAUGAUUGGCUUUCUCAUGUGUUUGUGAUGAAUAAAGGUCUUGAAUCUUGAAUCAUUCUACAAGUGUCCUCAUGAAUGUUCAGUUGGGUCAAGAUUGGAUGACAAUGAAGGAAAUUCCAUUAUACUCAGCUCUUCUGGGUCUUUAAGUAGUUCUUAGAAAGCGUUGAUGUGUGUUUGUGUUCAUUAUCCUUCUGCAGCAUGAAUACCUCUUCACAAAGACGCAAACCAGAAGGUGCAACACAUCUCGUAAGAAUGAAGUGCUGCUCCUUUUUGAUUGGGCUGUAGUGGAUUCCAUGCAGUUGUCCAACUUCAGUUGUGACAGUUUGCCGUCCAGUCAUUCUUUGAUUUCUGACUGUCUUUUAUCAAUGUGUUAACUUUCAUAUUGUUUUAGACCCACCACCUCAAACUGAUCACCCGAUCUUUUCAGCUUCCAUUCUCAUCAUCCUAAUUUCCCUCAUUAGUUCUCCUACUUGUGUACCAGCAGUCCACCACUCACCAUUUGCCAGGUUAUCUCUGAGCAUUUUGCAAUAGCAUUUGCAUCUAACUAGAUAAUUAAAUAAAUUAAUUCAGUCAAUAUUUCUCAAAAGUGUCCCUAGGGUUAGGGUUAAAGAUAGUAAUGAAAGUGCUACAUGUAAAACUGAAUAUGAAUCUCUGAUAUGUAAGUGCCAGCCAUGUGAGGCAAUAUAGUCAUUUAAUGUGGAGCCCUUAGAGGGCUGUGAGACACAGUGUCCAUAUAAAGUUGAAAGCCAAGACAUCCAACUUUGUGGUCUGGUUUGAAUGUCACAUUAACAUCUAUGCUGUCUGUGCCAUAAGUGCUGUGACAUUCUCCAUCGCUGGCCCGGGCAGUAGAGUCUCUCUGCCACAUCCUUCAAAAUCUUUGGCGUAUUCUACAGUAGCCUGAUAGUGUGUCAUCUCAAGUCAUUAUCUUUCGUGUUUAAUACAAAUGGUCCAGUUAGUGCUAUCACUAGUUCAGGGACCCAGUAUGUUGUACUUGUUUAUGAUACUUAGUAUUUUGUUACCAGCGUUUUCAAAGAAGCUUGACCUUUUCUCAAUCUCAGCCCUCCACUUGCGCCUGACCUUUGGCUAGGAAACCACACGCGCUAGCUGAAGACGCUCGUGUUCUCUCCUCUCAAAUGUCAUGCCCGGAAGCACUACAGGUCCAUAUCUCUCAUCUAAACACUUUACACUCUGUUACCACUCAAAACCAUAUUAGAACAGCAACUAAUUUAAAAGGGCACAAAAGGGUUUUGAUUCUACUACACAAACCACGUAAUGCUUGGCAAGAUGGGCCCAGUUUUUCAGUUUUACACUCCAGAUUUGAAAAAAGAAGAAAACAUAAGAAUAAAAUACACACUGUUUGCAGUACAUUUUAAAUUGUGCAAAUAGUACACUAUACAUUGAAAGUAAAGUGUAGGUGCCUGUCCCAAAAGACAAUAAUGUAUUUUAUCUUCAGCUGUGAUGGAAAAAAAGAAAGGGUAACUCUAACCUACCUAUGAACCGACCUAAGCAGAAUGCAGAAUACACAAUGCACAAUAGAAAAAAGACAUGACAAAGAUAAAGGUGAAAUAUACAAGAUUUGAAUGUUAUCUGGUUUGAAUGCUGCAUACAGAACCUCUAUUACGAUGCAACGGCAUGGAAUAAAAGUUGUUUCAUUUUUGUCUGUUCAAGAAAAUGGAGAUAAUUCAGAGGAAAUCAAAUGAAAGUGAAUGCAGAUAAAACUGAAUUUCAAACAUUUCCCUCACACCAUUUAACAAAUCUCUAUUAAACAAAAAUGUUGACCCAAAACCAAAUCUAAUUUUAAACAGUUCUUUUAUUGUUUCCACUGGCAAUAUAAUCUUAUUAACUGAAUUGUUACUAAUGGCACAGAUACUAAUUAAACUGAAAAGAGGAAGGAAGCUGUUUAAUGGUAAAAGCUCCUUUACAAUUAUGGAACAAUUAUUUGUAGCUUAGCUUUCAUUUCAAAAGUGCUUUUUUUCAAAUAAUGACAUUACCUUUCACAAUUUACACACAACAAUAUUAUGCAAUACAGAGAAUUCUGAAACCAACAGUGAAACUGUGACAAGUGAUGAGGUUUUUGAGAUUUUCUUCUAGGGCAAAAUAUUAUUUCAGCUGGCAGCUGGAAUGCUUGGUAUCACUACCUUGCUAAAACAUCCACUCUCAAGACGUGAUUAUGUUUUUUUGGCUGAUUUCUUUACGUCUGCAUCCAAUGCAUCUACAUAAAUACCACUAACACCACUGUAGGAAAAACAGCCACAGACGUUCCUACCUCCACGGUUUUAGUACACGGAGUACAGCCUGGCUAACCUGGCAAUAGCCAGAUUAAUAAUUGUGUAGUACGUGAUAGUACUCCACAAUAUCAAUCUGGGACCGCUCCAUGUAAAUCCGUUCGGAGGAAAGAGGCACGUAUUGGACAAUGCAACAGUAUGUCCCACCUCUGACAGGUUUGUUUUUAGCCAAUCGCGGGAUCUUCACAACGAGCGGAGCCAAUUGAUAGAUUAAACUCUUACCAAAACCCAUAGGUAAAAAAGCACAAACAUCUUUACCAUCCAGAAAUGCGCAAAGCGCCUCUCGUUGUUCUUCCUUCAAAGAAGCGAUAGGAGAUUCAGCUAAAACUGACUUAAUAGCAGCAUCUACACGAUCGUUGUCCUCCGUUGCCAUGUUUGUUUUGAUCUACUGGCACUUGGUGUCGUCUUCACACCCGGAUAUCCCGCCCCACACACGAAUACUGCUGCGUGAUUGGCCCGUGCCAACUUGGCUCUGCACGAACAGUGAAUGCGGGAGCGGAGCAAGAUGGUUUCUUGAGAGAUUUGUGAACUCACAAAUAUCGCGAGAAAUCAACUUGCUGGCAAGGUUACAGCCUGGCUGGAAUUCCUCCCUUGGAUUUAUCUACACAAAGUUCAAAGGCAGAAUAUGGACUUAUUCAAAAAUAGCACACGUCUCCAAAAGUGGUUAUCUUGCUUCUUAUUAACUUUAGUUAUUAAUCUUAUUCUUUAAGCUUAUGAAUGCUCUCUACUGUAUGUCUCUGCUGGUGUUCUCAUACCUGAUCCUAUUUCAAAUGGUCUGUGAACUGAGUUGUGUCUUGUAAGUCUUGUCAAUCUCUGGAGCAAUUCUUGCUGCUGAGUGUUGGCUGUUUUUAUUGACUUUACUCAAAAUUAUGCGGUCAAGUUUGCUGCAGGUUUUUCUGGGUCUAGGUCUAUGCUCAACUGCAGGAGGAUGGUAGAUUUUUGGUUAUCUGAUGAACAGACUCACAUUUUUUGUGCUAACAAUUUUAAAAAUGUAGCUUACUAAAUAAUGUAGUAUGUUAAUAUAAUUGAAAAAGACUGAAUGAUUGGCACCUUCAGUUGGGGGAUCUGAUGGCUCUGUUGUGCUAUGGUGGAUGUUUUGCCAGCAUGAUUUUUGUCCACUUCUCACCGUAAAGGGAAGGGUCACUGCAAAUCAAUACAAAAUUGUUCUGAGUGAUCAAAAAGUAUUAAAACUGUCCUGGUGGCAUGUGAAGUCCCGACACCUUACUAAGACACUAUCUGCAUUUAUUUUAUUAUGUGCCUCAUAACAAAGGGCACAGGAUCAUUUUCUUUGUGUUGGUGAAGAUUUUGGUCACUUAAAUGACACAAUAUUCUGUUAAACUAAAACUCAAUGUAUGCACAGUAUUUUGCGUCUCCAGGUCACGCCUCCCAGUCAGAAUGUAUAAUUUGCAGUAAGUCCAGUCAUUAGCUUGCUAAUGUGACUAACACAAGCCUUGUUAUGAUUACUUAAAACUAUAAUGUUUAAUUCAUUUAGCAUUUCUCCAAGGUUGCUUCUAUUAUCUUUGCCAUUUUUGCAGUUGUUUAACUGGCCAAUUGCAUCCAUCCAUUCAUUUUAAUAAUGGAGUUCUACAGUGUUUUAAAAUUACAACUUGUCCAGACACUUUUUCAUUAUCGUUUGCAUCAAGAUGUGCAUACGUGUACAAGUGACAAAUUGAUUUAUGUUAUGUUAGAAGAAAAAUGGUUUGAGAUGGAUUAAAUCAGUAUAGCAAAAAAAUUUAAAAAAUGUCUAAAUAAACUUCAUGGAAGGUUUCUGAUAGUUUGUACUGCAUACAGACAUAUCCUGGCUAAGUGGUUAUGGGGCAGCCUAGCUGGGUUGAAAGGUCCCGUAGCAGGUUGAACUGCUGACUAGCCAGGCUGCACUUCUUAUUCUUGCAUUUAUUUACACUACUGUGCUUUCAAAAUAAAGGCAAACUGCCAAAAAAACAAAAACAAAACAAAGCAUAUCCAUGGUAACACUAUGCAUCUUCAUAAAAAUGUGGCAUGUACUAUCACAUUUACUUUUAGCUGAUAUAAAAACUCACUCUCAUUGAAUAGAGAGCUUUACAGACCACAGGGAGCAGAAAAGAGGCCAAAAGGUCAAAGAACUGCACAUGUUAAAAUGGAGUGCUUUUGAAAUCAGAAUGUUUCUUCCAAGACAGUUGCCUCUGAAGUGUGAAAACUUUCAUUGAUCACAUGCACAAGGCCAUGCCAUUACAUUAACCACACAGAGUCGUCAAGAAAAAAAAGCUGAGAGGGAACAAAAGCAGGUGGAAAGAAUUCAUUCAAGUUUAAUUGAUUAGCUGAAUGACACUAAAUGACAAGACUGAAUUGCCCUAUCAAGUGAGUUAAAGGCAUUAUGGAGGAUGUUUUUUUUGUUUAAUUUGUCUGAUUCACAUAAAAUGAAUAUACUGACCUUUAGUGGACUUGUAUGUAUGGUCUCUAAAAGAAUAAAAAAUACAAAUAAAUAACUGUGGACAUGGCAGGACCUGAAAAACAUCAGCCAAUCAAUGCGCUCGGACCGAGGCGUUUGGUUUGCUCCCUUUCCUGUCAAUCAAAAAUCUUCCGGCUCAGGCUUAGUUACGUAGAUUACGUACGCCUUGGACUUACGUGUUUUCUGUAUGUGUUGCUUUGGUAUAGCUUCGUAGUUAGCUGGCGACUUGUUUUGCUCAUCUUUUUUUACAUAAUGGCAGAUAAAGAUCCAGGGGGAUCCAGCCGUAAAAGACAACUUCACGAGUGCUACGCAAGUUUCUGGAGGGGGGGCGUUUCUUCGUAAAUGUUAAGAGGGGGGAGGUUAGAGGGGGUCGAGGGAGAGGUUGUAUGUGCGCAUGCGCAUGCUUCGUUCAAAGUCGUAGGAAAUUAAAUCUCCUCUAAUGCCUUUAAAGCACGUGAUCUACUUUCAUUGCUUUAGAAAAGUUGCAUCAUGCCUUUAUAUGAUGUGAUCUGUCUUUGAACCUAAAACUAAGCUCAAGGCCCAAAGAUUUACAGGGAUUGCUGCAUUCACUUGAACUAGCAACUUCUGAUGCUGAAAUUGGUGUUGAGCCACCACUUUAGCCACCCCACCAUCUUGCCUCCAUCCAGAAUAAAAGCUGAGUUUACCAAGCAUGGGACUUGCGUUGCCAGAAUUAACCACUUAAGGAAUCUGAUCAAACUCCACUUUGUUUGUUUUUGCUUCCAUCUGUAAACCAGUCUGUCCUGAACAGUCUGUGGCUGUUGAAACGAAACAUUUCAAAUCAAUCUAAAACAUUUGCUUUUGAAAAUUAUUACAAGCAAUGCACGUUAUGAACAAUUUGUACAUACUGGGCUGAAAUAUGAAUGCAAAUCCUUUCUUGUAUUUCCACCUAAGAUGUUAUUUUUUUCCCUUUUUAUUGCUGGCCAAACCGUAGAUAAAUGUGUCAUCCUCUAUGUUUCAUCUUCCUUUCUUCUAUCCUUAUAUAGUAGGCAUUAAAUACAUUUCACAAUCAAACAUUUUUUCCCUUCAUAGAGCACCCACACUAGUCAAUUUCCAAUAUAAAUUGUCAUAGACAUAAAACCUACAGCGCUGUAAGCGCUUUCCACUCUACGAUGAGCACACACCCAUCCAUCAACUGGCACUACCCACACACACAUGCACACACAAACAGGCAGGCUUUCACACCAACCUCCAGGCAAUAAACAGAUGUAUUUCUCUCUAACAUGUAAGUUCUAUUAUCCGUGGGGAUAGCAGCUCUUAGUCUCUGAGAUCAUCACAACAGCAGGGCAUUAUCUCACUCUUUCUCUCCAUCACACCAUCCACUCCCCCAAAUCCCAAUACCUUCACAUGAAACCAUUCUUCUCCUUCGCUCUCUCCCGGUAUAAUCUCUGCUUGAGGCAUUACUCAUUUCUGCCUGGCAUGUUGGGAGGUCUGUUUCAAUAGACUAUGGACAAAAGAAGCCCAUGGUGCAUGUGUGUCGGUCUGAUACCAAAUUGCAGUCGGAGUGUAAGCCCCUGAGUAGAUGCUCCGAGCAGUAUUUUGACAGCCUUGCAGCAUUUUGCUUUACCCUUAUUUCAAAAACACAUUGAUGAUGGGUUGGUAAACCAGAUUAGGGAAUUUGAUCAAGUACAGCAAGGCGUACACUUACAGAUACAUCCAUCCAUCCUCUAUACACCGCUUUAUCCUCAUUAGGGUCGCGGGGGGAGCUGGAGCCUAUCCCAGCUGACUCGGGCGAAGGCAGGGGACACCCAGGACAGGUCGCCAGUCUGUCGCAGGGCUACAUACACAGACGAACACUCACACUCACAUUCACACCUACGGGCAAUUUAGAGUACUCAAUUAACCUCAGCAUGUUUUUGGACUGUGGGAGGAAGCCGGAGUACCCGGAGAAAACCCACGCAUGCUCAGGGAGAACAUGCAAACUCCAUGCAGAAAGAUCCCAGGCCCACCCCGGGAUUCGAACCAGGGAUCUUCUUGCUGCAAGGCGAAAGUGCUAACCACUACGCCACUGAGCAGCCUCUUACAGAUACACUAUAGCAUUAUCCACUCUCCUAGUAAUGAGUACAUCCAAUCGUGCCACCAAAACAACCGUUAUCCAUUGAGCCUCCACAAGAUGUCUAAAGGUGUACAAUGGCAUUAGGCAACAUAGUGGCAGAUCCUUUAAGUCCUAGAAGGUGCGAUGUGGGGGCCUGCAUGGUUCCGGACUUGUUUUUCCAACACAUCCCACAGAUGUAGAUCAGAUUGAGAUCUGGGGAAUUUGAAGGUCAAGUCAUCCCCUUAAAUUCUUUUUCAGAUUUCUCAAUACUUUUGCAGUAUAGCCAGGGUUUAUUAUCAUCUUGAAAGAGGCAAAUGCCAUCAGGGGAUGCUGUUGUCAUGAGGGGUUGUAUAUAUCCUGCAGCAAUGCUUAGGCAGGUGGUACAUGUCAAAGUAACAUCCACAUGAAUGCCAGGCCCCAAGGUUUCCCAGCAAAACAUUCUGCAAAGCGUGGCAUUGCCUUUACUAUGUAUCCUCUUCCCAUGGUGCAUCCUGCUGACAUCUCUCCCUCAGAUAAUGCACCUGGUUGUCCACAUGAUGAAAAGAAAACAUGAUUCAUUAGAAAAGACCCAUUUCUUGCAUUGCUCAAUGGUCCAGUUCUGAUGCUCAGAUACCCAAUGUAGCAGGUUUCUGUAGGGGACAGGGAUCAUCAUGGGCACUGCACCACACACAGCAAGCUCAAAUGCUGCAGUUUCUGCUAAAGUAGAUAUUCUGUAACCUGCAGCCUUUGCUCCCCACGCACAUGAAUGAACCUUGGACACCCAUGACCGGGUUCCCUGGUUGCCCUUCUUUGAAACACUUUUUCUUAAGUACUAAACCUGCAUACAGGGAACACACCACAAGAAUUGUUGUUUUUUGUUUUUUGUUUUUUGGAGAUGCUCUGUCCCAGUUGUCUGAUUCUUAUUCUGUGCAUUUUCUUGCUUCCAACACAUCAACUUUAAAAACUGACUGUUCACUUACUGCCUAAUAUAUCCCACUGGUCAGUGGUAUUGAGGUUGUGGGUGAUUAGUGUAUAUAACCUACUGUAUCCUAGGACAUUUUGUUUCUAUCAGUCAGAAUCACAAAGAUCCCCUUGAGACAUGUAAAAUGAGAUUAUCCCUUAUUCAAAGUGUCAUUUUGAGAAGGACAGGGUGAUAGCUAAACCUGCACUAACCUAAUCACCACCUUGAGAAAUGCAGCACAGCUUGUUUUAUUCAUUCUAAUAUGCAACAUUAAAAAGCAGUUUCUUUUAAAUCCUAUCACAUUAACAGCCCUAAAUGUCUGGAAUUUGUCAGAGCAGAAAUGUGCUGUUUGUUGCUCACAAGGAUAAGUCUGGAUGAAAGAAAACAAAUCCACAUCUAUGUAUUUCUCCAUGCCCAAAGAUUAGACUGAGUGAAUUCUUAUUGUAGUAAAAAGAGAUAAAGAAAGAAAAUGAGAAACACAGAGAGACAAAAAAAAGACAGUCUGAAGACUAAAUUCAUAUUCCAAGCAUCAUUAGUUUGAAAUGACUUCUCUGGGUACAGAUGUGGUUUAGACUGUGAAAAGAAUCUGAGUGUUCGGGAUGUGGGGAAUAAAAGUAGUGACAAAAAUCUUCGAAGAUGGCAGCAGAUGUUAUAGUCGCUUCACCAAAGAUUUAUGUGUUAAUACAGCGCUGGUCUAGUGCAGGAUUUUUCAGCUCUCGACUGUCACACCAAAUAGUAACAGAGGGACACCACCAGUGUGGUGGCAGAAAUCCUGCAAUUGGAGUGAAGGCAAUUUCAUCUGUGCUGCUCUUAGUGUGGAAUGAGAUGCUUUCAAAUGAUGAACAAGUAAAAUAUCUGAACAACUAAAAGUGACCACAAUGCUAAAGGUGAGACAGGAGGUAUUUAUAUUUGUGACUUGGUUGAUCUGACCCUUUAAGAUGUUUUGAAUUGGAAAAAAAAAAAGAAGUAUAUUUUUAUUUCCCACAGCUGUCAUGGCCGUCAGAGCAAAAUGGUGAAUGCAUACUGUGGAGCACAUACAGUAUGCGGUUUUCUGUCAAGCUGUGGCUCUGUAGAAUAUGUUGAGAUUAUCAAGGUUUGCAGAGAUUCUGAAAUAUUGCAAACUGGCACUGAUGUGAAUGAUGAAUUGGGAUGCUUGUUGCUUCACGGUUCUCAAUAGCUCUUUGUUUGAGCCGGGCUGUGGCCAAAGUUGAGGCCCACUCAGCCCCAGAGUGCUUUCCUACACCUGAAUACUAAUGAAGAGUUUGUGAUCUUAACUUGACUUUGACUUCAGCAAGGAGGAGAUAAUGUGAAGCACUCUGCUGGGCGGAGAUAGGGACCUGCAGAGGGCCGUCUGACACCGGGCUGUGGAAGAUCAACAGGAGGAGCAGUGGAGAGCGGAGUAAAGUGAUGUAAGUGGAGAAUGUCAGCGUGAUGUUACCCGGUGAAUUACAUUCGUCCCGUGUUACUGAUCACACAUCUGUUACUGAUCAUGCAUCAUUCAGAACCUGCUUUUUUUUUAGGAUUCAUUUUCAUUAUCAUUAUCUCAGUGUGCGCUCCAGUGAACACCACUUGAUCCUUUAUAUACUCCAGAGGCAAUUAAACUUAAUGUUUUGAAUUACAAUAAAAAAUAAGUGGAAGAGAGGGGAGUUUGGAAAGCACUAGAUUCUGAACUGAAAGUGUGUAGAGCUGAGUGAUCCCCCUGAGACUGGAGGCGUAGGGCUCUGUGGGGAGCAUUAGAGAUGUUUUGUAACUGGAAACAGGAAAAUGGAGGACUUUCAGGGAUCAGAAGGCUGAAGUACACUACGGGGAGAAAAAAAAUUCUCCCACUCCUGGUUAUGUGUGUUUGUGCAUUUGUGUGUUGCUUAGAAACAUGCCAGAAUCUCUUUGAACAUGGUCUUUUGACGUCAGCUGUUAGCAACAUUGACUCCUACUCACUCUCUGCACUUUAGAUAGUGCUUUAUGCUCUUUAUUUGAUUGAGCAGAUUAAUUCUUGAAUAAAGAUUAGCGCUGGUGCUAUGUAUUUUGAACAAAAGGCAACGGGGAGACACAGUAUGCCCAUGAACGUUUGACAAAUACUUGCACUACCCCUUUUGUGUCUGAACUACAGAAACACAAAAUGGAAACACAUUUGAAAAGUUAAUGUGCUGUAGCUACAAGACUGAAACAGACCUCCUAGAGCAGUAACAGUAAACAGAAGACAUGAAAGUUUGAAUUUUAAUGAAAGAGUCGUGCUGCUUUUAAUGGCUUUGCACGAUUGUGUGAAGACGGCAUUGGCUCAUUUUAGACAGGACAAUGGCAAUUUCAGUGUCAUUCUGGCUUCAUUCUUCAAAUCACUUGUAUGCACAAAGGGUUCCCAAUUUUCUAUUACAGUUUCAAAUAGCUGACUGUCACGAUUUAAUUUCAACUAAUUAAAGGAAAAACGAAACAAAUCUUUGUCAAACUCCACUUGUUCAGUGAAUAUUUAAAAUUGUGCCGGAAAAAAAUCGCCAAAUGAUGCUGACGAGGCAGAAGAAGGGGAGAAAUUUCACUCACAAGUUAUGCAUUUUUCAUUGUUGUUUGUUCGUUUUCUCAAUUAUAUGACUGCAUAGUAACUUCUAAGUAAAUAUUUUUGCUGGCAUAGCUGGCAUGACAUUAUGCUCUUCAAAUCGUAUUCAUAAUAAUGGCACAAGAAUGAGAAUUUAAGAAAGUAUCAAGAAGCUGUCCCUCACAGUCUAUAACAAUAUUUUAUAUGCAAUCACAAAUUAUAUAAAAAAAAACACAAACAAGCUCGCAAAAUUUUUGAUCUGAGGGCUGGCAGUACGAUAGAUAGAUCACUACGUUCAGAGAGCACAUACGUUUACCAUUAAGGUAUGAUUUAAGAUGAAGAAAACAUGAGUAUUUUUCAAAGUCUUGCAGGGGUUACCUGUGGAGAACAAGCUCAGCCUGUAGGUGGUGAAAUAUUCAUCCUGUAAUCCUUUUCAAUCUGAGCUUAUGUGAAGAAUUGUGUGUACCUAAACAUUUUUCUUAUGUAUUCCUGGGAACCAAAGAGGGUGCAGUGCAAUGCAGUAUUGGUGGUUAUGCUAUAGAUGCAAUGUAAACAACUCCUUUUGCAUGCACAGCGAUAAUAACAUUCCCUGGUCAAAUUACAUUAGCUACAGUUGACCUCCAAAGUCUGAGCUAUAUUGUGUUGAAUGUGUGAAUGGUUAUGUGUCAAUGUGUGCGGUUUUAAAAAGCCACAGAAACAUGGAGCAACUUUUCUGCAAAUAUUGUUCUAAUCUCUACAGUUUUUAAGGAGUGUAGACCUUUAAUUUAAAAUAAUAGUGGGACAUAUGGAUGUGAGUGCAAUGUAAUUGUUCUGAAUAUGAUAAGAUGCAGAUUUUGCAAAUUUUUUGCCUUGUGUUGUUCAUGAACUAAUAUUAAUAAUGCACCCCCAAUUAAGACUCAAUAGAUUUUUGUCAGUUGGUUUGGAUGCUGGUGUAAUUUACUUGAAGGGAUGCAAAAAUGGUAACUAAUGAUGAGGUAGUCAUGAAGAAAUAAUGUGUCCCUGUGGUAACAGCUCAGUGUGUCCGUCUCUCCCAGGAAGCAAGAAAAAUAAUCAACCGUUGCUGUAGACAUUUACCCCGAGGCAUUUCAAACUGCUAUGUUAAAAUCUGUAGUUAUGAAACCCAGCCUGGACAUUGUUGACCUUUGUAAUUACAGGCUCAUCUCUUAUCUUUAUUUUUUCUUGGUAAACCUCUAGGGAAGCUCAUUAUCAAGUAACUUUUGGAUUUCUUGAACAACAACCUUUUAGAAAUGUUCCAAACUGUUCCAUCAAAUUACCUAGAGCACUGAAACAGCCAUACAGAGACACUGAGAUUGACUGUUACCUAUUAUCAAUUGUCAUUGUUGCUAUUCCUUUGGAUUUAAAUCCUGCCUUCGAGAGAGUUGAUUAUUACAUUGUAAAUGGCAGACUAGUGUUCAUGCUUGUCAAGCAGAAAGUCUUUACUUAAUUUAAGUAAUUUUCUAUCCAAAACAAUUGGAAUUGAUCAUAGUGUUCUUAAAUAAAGUAUUCUGAGCCCUGUUCUCUUUUCUUUAUGCUCCUAGCCAAGUGUGAAGAUAAUUAGCAGCAGUUGGAGGCCUGAGGUAGAAGUGCAGACAAACUAGCUGUUUCUUUUGUGAAUAUGCAGCAAAAUAUGACACACCAAACAUGUUGGAUCACAGAUGGCAUGAGGACCUGUAGUAUCAGCAGUCCCUGGCAACCCUUUAUGGACUGCCACUGUUAGGAUCUUGCUCUGGCCCCUGCCCUUCUUCCCCCUUUCUUCCUCUUUUUCCUCCUUUCUGGUUUCCUGAUCUGUUUCGGUUUGGUCCUGCCUUUUUGGUUCCCUGUCUGUCACCUCUCCCUCCUGUCUCUCUCUCUCCCUACCACUCGCCCUCCUGCUCUACCUGCACCCUGCCUGCUGAUUACCCCAAAGACUGUCAGCUGCAGUAAUCAGUAAACUCAGCUCACCUGUACACAAGCUCUCCUCACUAGUUAAACCCCGCUCAGUCACUCAGUCUCUGUUGGAUCGUAGAAGCCGUUUCCUCACCAAACCUGCCACCUCUGGACUGUUACAUGGACUCUUCUACUCUUCCCCCCUCUUGGACUCUGUUGCUCUCCUGUCUGUUCUUGGGUUUUCCCCAGCCUGUUUCCCCCUCUUGGUUGUCAGUUCCCCCGUAGUGUAAGUACCUCUUCUUAGCUCUGUUUAGUUAAUCCAGUUUAGUAGACUUCUGUUUCUGUACUCUUAGUUUUGGUUUAUAGUAGUUUGGUUUUGUUCUGCUUGCUGUAGUUUAGUGCUUAGUUUAUGUAUUGGUUUAGCUAUUUGAUUUAAUAAAGGUCUUUUGGCAGCCA